CUGCUGCCUUCCGUAGGAGUCUGGACCGUGUCUCAGUUCCAGUGUGGGGGGCCUUCCUCUCAGAACCCCUACGCAUCGUCGCCACGGUGGGCCGUUACCCCGCCGUCAAGCUAAUGCGCCGCAUGCCCAGCCGCCACCGGAUUCCUCCUUUCGCCCGGACCGGAUGCCCGGUCCGGGCGGCAUGGGGUAUUAGGCCGGGUUUCCCCGGGUUAUCCCCCUGUGGCGGGCAGGUUCCAUACGUGUUACUCACCCGUGCGCCGGUCGCCAGCAGGUGCAGG
rnacentral:rRNA from 1 species